rnacentral:RNase_P_RNA from 2 species
GGAAGGAAGCUCACUGUAGAGGCUACAUGCAGAGUGCAUAUGUCACUCAAGUACCUUGGGGAAGGUCUGAGACAGGAGCCGGUAAUUGCCCCAGCAGGGCAUCCCCUGAAAAGGGGAGCGAGCUCCCAGAGACCCGGGGCCCAAAGGGGGUGGCAUGAGACGCGUGACCGUGUAUCUGGUACUCGCUGAUGCUUACUCCUUCCGGGCAUUGGAAGUGGCUCGCGGCUGGCACUCCCCUGAGUGCAAUGGCUGAGGUGAGGUAAUGGCGCCUCAUAACCCAAUUCAGACCACUCUCCGGAAUUCC